CCUCCGCGGGAAACAAAAAUGGCGAGGGGCUACGGUGGAGCCGGGCUGUCUGUGAAGCGGGUCUGACCCCUCCCCCGUCGCCUUUCCUCCGCUGCGCCGCGGGGUCCGUGCUCUGGGGGAUCCCGCUGCGCACCGAGGGCCCGGCCGCACCGGGGCGCCGGGGGGGAGGCUCCUGAGCUCGCUGAUUUCCCUGUAUGAGGCGGUUGGCACCACUGGAGAGACCGAAUGAGAGACUCUACAGCGGUGGGUAAUUCACUGGUCCAUAAGCGGUCUCCUUUAUGUCGAAGCCAUAAGACCUCAGCAUCUCUGACCAAGCUGUCGUUACGUGAUGGACAGAAAGCUAAAAAGCCACUGUGUAAAUUUGAAGAAGGUCAGGAUGUCCUAGCUAGAUGGUCAGAUGGCUUGUUUUAUCUUGGAACUAUCAAAAAGAUAAACAAACUGAAACAGAACUGCUUCAUUAUAUUUGAAGACAGUUCCAAAUCCUGGGUUCUCUGGAAGGACAUACAAACAGGAGCCACUGAAAGUGGGGAAAUGGUCUGUACAAUAUGUCAGGAAGAGUAUUCAGAAGCACCGAAUGAAAUAGUUAUAUGUGAUAAAUGUGGGCAAGGUUAUCAUCAGCUGUGUCACACACCAAAUAUUGAUUCCAGCGUGAUUGAUUCAGAUGAUAAAUGGCUCUGUCGACAGUGCGUUUUUGCAACAACAACAAAGAGGGGUGGUGCACUUAAGAAAGGACCAAAUGCCAAAGCACUGCAAGUCAUGAAACAAACAUUACCAUAUAAUGCAACAGACCUUGAAUGGGAUGCAGGUCAUAAAACCAACGUCCAGCAGUGUUACUGCUAUUGUGGAGGACCUGGAGACUGGUAUCUAAAGAUGUUGCAGUGCUGCAAAUGUAAGCAGUGGUUUCAUGAGGCUUGCGUGCAAUGUCUCCAAAAGCCAAUGCUUUUUGGUGACAGGUUUUAUACGUUCAUUUGCUCAGUUUGCAGUUCUGGACCAGAAUACCUCAAACGUUUACCCUUGAGAUGGGUAGAUAUAGCACAUCUAUGCCUUUACAACCUAAGUGUUAUUCAUAAGAAGAAAUACUUUGAUUCGGAGCUUGAACUCAUGGCCUACAUUAAUGAAAACUGGGAUAGGUUGCAUCCUGGUGAGCUGGCAGAUACACCAAAAUCUGAAAGAUAUGAGCAUGUACUGGAGGCAUUAAAUGAUUACAAGACCAUGUUUAUGUCUGGAAAAGAAAUAAAGAAAAAGAAGCAUUUGUUUGGCUUGAGAAUUCGUGUUCCUCCUGUGCCACCAAAUGCUGCUUUAAAGGCUGAGAAAGAACCAGAAGGAACUUCUCAUGAGUUCAAAAUUAAAGGCAGAAAAUCAUCUAAACCAAUCCCUGAUGUGAGGGAUUUAAGUAAUGGUAUAGAAAGAAAGGGGAAAAAAAAAUCAGUAGGUCGUCCACCCGGUCCCUAUACAAGAAAAAUGAUUCACAAAACUCCAGAGUCGUCUCCUCUGGAUAAUGAACCGGUUCCAGUGAUAGAGAACCCAGGCUUGGAAUUACCCUGCACUGUUGGGAAAUCUGAUGGAACUGCACAUUCAUCCAAUACCUCAGAUGUGGAAUCCACAGGUGCUGCCAGUAUGAAAGAAACUACCUCAUCUAGCAUUUCCAGACAUUAUAGUUUAUCUGACUCGAGAAAAAGGACUCGUACAGGAAGAACUUGGCCUGCUGCAAUACCACAUUUGAGAAGAAGAGGUCGCUUUCCACGAAAAGCACUUCAGACUCAAAAUUCAGAAAUUGUAAAAGAUGAUGAGAGCAAGGAAGAUUACCAGUAUGAUGAACUCAAUACAGAGAUACUUAACAACUUAGCAGAUCAGGAGUUACAGCUCAAUCAUCUAAAGAACUCGAUUACUAGUUAUUUUGGUGCAGCAGGUAGAAUAGCUUGUGGGGAAAAAUACCGUGUUUUGGCUCGUCGGGUGACACUUGAUGGAAAGGUGCAGUAUCUUGUGGAGUGGGAAGGAGCAACUGCAUCCUGACUGUAGGACUGAACAUUAUGUUCACUGCACUGUCAUCUGUAAGUACAGUUCAUAAUGCAGAGCCACAAGAGAAAUGUGUCUUUAAAUGUCUUUCUAAAAACAAAACAAAACCAGUUUAGCCUUAACAUGUAACUGUUAUCAUUACAGCUCUUGUGAUAAAGACUUACCUUUUUAAAAUCUGAUCUGAAACUUAAAUUUUUUAAUCUGAACGUUUGUUAGAUUGUUUUAGGUUGGGAUAUUUUGGGUUACAAUUGCUUAAAAAUGUGCAUGGUGUUUUUUAAAAAAAAGACAUUUUCUAGAGAACAUUCCAUGGAUACAGUUAUUGUGAUUUAGAGAAAAUAUUAUGUAGAUAGCACAAAUCUUUGAAAAAUUUUGGUUUGUUUUCUUACCCAAAUGUUUGCAGAAAUGUAUUUCUAUUUCAAUACUUUCUAGAUUUCAUAAGUGCAGUGUAUAUAAUGCCUACUGAAGACUGUAAAAUACUGAAGUUUUCUUUGAAACAAAGUGUAAAAAAAAAAAAAAAGAAAAAAUAUAUUGAGCCUGUAAAUUGCUCUGUGACCAGACUUCAUUGUCUUCUUAAUAUAUUCUUUGUGUGUGUGCGUGUGCGCGUGUGUGUAUAUACAUAUGUAUAUAUGCACACACAUACUUGUGCGUGUAUAUAUAUGUGUGAUUGUGACCUAUGCAAUACAAAUUAUGGGAUUGGGCAGCUUCUGAGAAUACAUCCCAUAAUUCUUUUUUCAGGAAUAGUUGCCAGUAUUUACACAGCAGCAUUUCUUCUCAGGCUUAUUGGGUGCUGUUGCUUUCUAUGUACUAAGGAAAAGUGUCAAAGCAGUGCAGUGUGUUCUGGCAAUGGGUGCAGUCAUUGAUGUUCAUAUGCUGUAGGUAAUAUAUUCCAUUAUCUUCCAUGUGAAUUAGCUGGUAAAAAAAAAAAGCAGGAUCUGAACAUUUUGAAAUUAACUCUACUAGAAAUAACAAUUUGAAAGUUAUUGCGGCACACUGAUUAUAAAUUUUUGUCCCAGUUAUAAAAUAAGUUCAUAGGAGUCACACACAAGAUUCCUACGUAUCUGUAGAAACAGUCAUAUUUUGAUAAAUGUAGUAUAAAUAAAGUGUAUUAUUGCACAGGGUCAACAGUUUGUUGCAAUUUGAAGUAACAUUACUGAUUUUAUUACAACAUUACCUCUUUUGUUUUUAUAAAAUAUACCAAGUUUUAAAUUGAUAAGUUUGUUUACUUGUUUUUUUAAAAAAAAAAAAAGUCUUUUGCCAGUAUUAGAUGUUUUUUCUUUGUCUGCUACUUUUGAGGGGUUUUUAGCCAAAGAGUAAACAGAAGAAUAUUUUUAGUUUGGUGGUUAUUCACUGUACUGCAUAAGGUUAGUUUUCUUAAAUGCUUGCAAUUUACCACCAAAAUAAAAUUAUGUAACACUUACAAAUGACAGAGUGGUUUAAAGUGUACUGCCUGCGUUAGUACUUAUUUAUUCUAUUGCAUGAUUAUUUGAGUUUUUCUGCUCAUCUUGAACAUCUUGAAAAGGUGAUUUUUGCUUUUUUUUUUUUUUCUGUCACCUUAUAGCCAAAGGAAGCAGAAAAAGCUUUUUAUCCUGUGCUUGGUUUAUGGCUGGCCAGGUAAUAUUAGCUUUAUAAAAAUGCUAAUUAAAAACUGCCACUUCUGUUUACCUUCACUAAAAUAUGUGGUUUUAUCCUCACACCCUCAGCUAUUAAUUUAAUGUUGCCUUGCUUAUAGCUGCAAUAUUUUGAUAACACAGCAACUUCAUGUUAAUUUUUGAAUGUUUAUAUCUUGGGAUAAUGCAAAAUGUAAAGCCUUUGUAACCUUACUCACACCGUCUGUAUCUGUCUUUAUUGUUUCACUUUAUUCAAGUCCUUUAAUUCUAACUGAACACCAGCAGUAUUUUUCAUAAAGUUUCAUUUAAAGAUAAAUAUUGGAAUGUACUUGGACUUCGGGGGCGGGGGGGGGGGGGGGGGGGAGAAAAUAUUUGUCAAACUUAAGCUGUCCAUAGACGUAACUAUUGUGAAUGUUAUUGUUUCAUUUUAUUAUGGUGGUUGACUUGACUCUGAUGUUCAGUUUGUAUUUUUGGAAUUGCUUUUUUUCUUAGAAUUAAAAGACCAACAUUAAAUGUGUGUAUUUUUUGAGAGAGAAGAAUGAGUUUUGAUUCUGUAUUCUUGUGAACUACAUACUUGGUGGCAUCCUCCCAUCCAUUGUUUCUCUAUCUCUAGCUUUCCUCUUAGUGUCCUGGAGACACUUGCCCUGCACAUAGACACUAACUAGUGUUCUAGCUAUGCUUGAGGGAUGCUUUGUUACAAGAUGUCAUGUACUGGAAAAUGCUGCAAUAGUGCUGCUGAAGAUACAGCUAGAGUAGUAAUUAAAGCACACCUACAAAUGCCUUUCUCUCAUUUUAUGUGAAUGUCAUUGUAUGUAGUAAUGGAGUGUCUAAAGGAAAAAUACAAAUGUUGCUGUACCUAAUGAUUUCAUUUUGGUAUGACUUGAUCAUUGUAUGUAUGCAUGUGUGUAAAUAUAUGUAAUUCAACUUUGUUGUGGUCACUGAUUUAGAACCAUUUCUAUGUGUAUCAGAUUUAAUAUUUUUCCAUUAUAUAUUAUUUGUGUUACAGUAGUAUUUAGGUAGCGAAGCCUCUCUUGAGGCCAUCCUAAAAAUGUAAGCGUCACAUGAACAAGACAGCAAAGAAAUAACGGCACAUACUGGUCAGAAUUGUAAAAUAAUCAUCAUAGCAAACUACUUGUCAAAUCAUUGUUCUCAACAAAAACUUCAAGAGGAAUUUUGAAUAAAACCCAUGCUUUUCUAUGCAUAAUAGACACUUUGAGAUUGCAAAGGAAUUUUGAAAAAAUCUCUUGGGAGUGAUAUGUGAAAUGAAGGUCAAUAUUUUGACUUAACUUGAAGACAGAAAUAAACCAAAAAAGGCCUUGAAGGUGAAGACAGGUGGUUUGUUGUCUAGGGAGUGGGGGAAAGAUAAAUGGAUAAACAGGAAAAUGGUCAUGUCUUUGGAACAGCCUACUAAAAUGAUCUUUAGUGUUAUAUUUUAAAAGGAAACUGGUGAAAUGAGAUUGGAACAUGCCAAGGCUGGAGAUGGAGCAGUAGUCAGAACACAGUGCUAAGGAUGAACUGGACAGGAGCAUCAGUUCUGUGCACAUAGGGAAGAGGAUGAAUCUUGCAAAUGCUGUGCAGGUGAGUUAUAAAGAAGAGAAAGGCAGUGGAAAAGACUUUGGAGUCUCUGAAGAAAGGUGAAAGGGGAAUGACCAUCUUCUAGAAGAGAUAGUGCAGUAUAACAGAAAGAAAAGCAAAAGAUGAGUACAAGUAGGAGCUUCGCACAGUCUAAGCAUGAGCUUGGAAUUCAAUGCUUUUGCUAGUCUUCAAUCAUUCAGCAACAAUGAAACAAGAUUUUUAUAUUGUCAUGUUUUUAUCUGUUUGCAUUUCUGAGUCACUUAAUGUUUCUCUCAGCUAACUCAUCUCUGCUAUUUUUUAAAUCGGACUUUUUCAUAUUCCAGCAUUGAGAUUCACAUACCAUAACAUCAACAGUUGUUCUGGUUUUCAUUGAUACCAAAAUAUAUUGCCUUGUAGAUACUAGCUUUUAAAAUACAGCUGUAGCUCAUACAGUUCUUUUCAUAUCAUCUUCUAAUCUGUUCACUGAUAUUACUUCACAAGCGUGUAUUUUUUUCACUUGUUCUAACUUAUGUUUCCAGCUUCUGAAUUUGACAAUAUUCUGUUCCCAUUAUUAGUUAUUUUGUGUUUGGCAUUGACUGACUUCCAUGUGACUUUGGUUUCCUAGUCUUCUGUUUACUUAAUGUCCCAUGUGGUAGCAUUAACUUGCAAUCUUGACAUCUGCAGUCUUAUUCCAGUAAGCUCAUUUGUUUCAAAACCUGCUUUAUAGCAAGUAGCUAAUUAAUAGUUCUAUCUUACUCUAAAUAAAGCUUAUUCUUCUGUAAGCACCAUUUCCAAGUACUUCAUUUGUGCUCUGCCGUUCCCUAACGAAUACUCACAAAACUGUUGCUAUUGCAUUCUCGUGUUGUCAUCCAAUGUGAUAGUUUAUUGCUUUGCUAUGUACACGUUUCAUUUAUGAACAUUACUAAGAUUGCGCAUUUUGCUUUUCACCUGCUUGCUCUAACUUGGCAUUCAUAACUUCACAAAUUGGUUGCAUGAUAGCAUGGUUGCAUGAGAUUGGAAAGCAGGAAGAUAGUGAAAUUCUAGGGAUUAUCAACAAUAGUUGGAAAUUCAGGGAAAGGGAAACAAUGAAUGAACAAUUGGAAAGAUUUUCAGGCUGUUAAAAUAUAUUGCAGUGGUAGCAGAAGGAAAAGGUGAGCCUGAAAAGGGGAAGAAUAUAAGAUAAAACUAAGAAUUUAUCGAGGUAACAAUGCAGAGUUCCUUGGUUAGGGAAAAUGAUGCUUUUUGUACAAAAUCCCCACUUGGAAUUGUUCUCUCUGACAAACUGACUAGGGAGGCUAUCUGGCUUGUGGCAGAAAAGUAUGUAUAAAUGCAUGUAAUAUGUAUACUUAUGUGCAGAAGUACACAAGUCUGAGAAAUACAAUGAGAAACUCUGGAAUGGAUUUAAUUACAAUGGGAAUUUAUUAUUUUUAAAGAAGUCUUUAAGUAGGCUGUGAAAUGCUUAUUAAAAAGACAGCCUUUAAUGGACAGUUUAAAAAAAAUUGAUUUUUUUUUAUAACAAAUUGGUAACUUCAAUCCUUGCUUCCUUUCUUCCCAUGCUUUUUCUUCUCUGUGGUGAUGAGCCCAGGUAUUGUAGUUUCUUACCUGCCCAGCAGUCAUUCAGAGGUAAGUGCUGAAGCUUUAGAAUGGGAACUCCUAUUUGUUGGCCACUUGGUGCCUGAGCCUGCUUCCUUCUUCCCAGUCUUAUGGUGUCAUCCUGUGGGAGAGAAGUGACUGGAAUGAAUGAUUUCAGGAAAGGCAGUGUAAGUGAACGAUGGCUGAAGCAUGCUCAGGGCUUUGGAGGAGGGGUGGGAUGGGCUCUGGUUCUGCCCUUUUCUUGUCUGUCCAGAGAAUGUAAUCAAGAAUCUUCUCAUUAACUGUUUGGAGCUGGAUUUGAUUAAACAGUCAGAAACCUUUUGUAUGGACAGUCAUGGGUAUCUUUGACUUGACUUUUUUUUUACCAGUCCCUGAUAAUCCUUCAGCAUAAUAGAAAAAUGACUUUAAUUAGAUGGUUAAUGUCAGAUCCUUUAAAGCUGAAAUAAAGAUACAACUAUCUUUUAGAACUUUUAGAACUUUUCUCUUAGCAACUCUAUGCCUGCCUUGCACACCUGUAGUCCAAUUUGACAGGUAGCAGAGAGUGAUGAAUCAUAGAAUGGUUUGGGUUGGAAGGCACCUCAAAGAUCAUCUAGUUCCAACCCCCCUGCCAUGGGUGGGGACACCCUCUAUUAGACCAGGUUGCCCAAAGCCCCAUCCCACAGGUCUGUGUUCACUCCACCAAGUCCAUUUAACGAAGGAUAUCUUGCGUCUGGAAACCUGGUAUACACUAAGGGAGGAGAGGGACUUGUAAGCUAUAUGGGUUCCAAGUUUCAUUUACUGUCCUCAACUACUGCAAUUGAUAGCAUGAGUUGAUGAUGUAAUUCAUUAAUUCAGAUGCUUCUGGUGAAACUUCAGCAGUGUAGGUGUGUUCACUAUUAACUUCUUUAUUAUUUUUAUUAUUACCAUUUUAUCUUUACCUGUGAUAAAAAUUAACAGUUGCCUCAAGUAAAUUGUUGGUUUUGAAAACAAAAUUAUACAGUAAGGCAGAUAACUUUUGAUCUGCUCUGCAACAAUUUACAAAUACAGUGCUUACUCGCCUCCUUACUAGUAUUCCUCCUGUAUGAAUAGUGAGUUUCUGUGAGAGGGUACUGCUGGAGCAGGGGGAAAGCAUGGAAAGGAAGGGCUUAACAUAAACCAUUUUUCAGCAAUAACUAAGAGUUGUAUGUCUCCUGUCUGCACCAAAAGUUGGAAAAUUUUACAAUGAAUCAAUCUCAAAGAGACUUGUUCUUUGAAACUAGGGAAGGCACAGGAACUGUUCAUUGUUAAAGACAUCAGAUAUAGCUCAAUCUACUUAAUUCCAGGCUGUCUUAACUAACUGUUGGGGCUAAUGAGUCUUUAGGACAGAUUGCCUUGUAAAUAUUCAUUUUAAAAAUACUCAGGAAAGGAAAAAAAAAAAGUAAUUGCUGUGGCUGGUUGUAUACAGUUUUUAACAAGGUAGUCUUAGUACUGUACCAUGCAGUCAUAGACUCUGAGGUUAGUCCUGCAACCUUGUAAAUGAGCUGAGUUAAUCGAGGAAGUGCUGUGCUGCCGAGUGUGAGAGAUGCAGUGGACUUGUGCCAGUCUGAGGUACAGGAGUGUUGUGUUGUACAUAGGAAGAAGUUAAGGCAGAAGGUGUCAUUUCUCACAGCACUCACUUCGAGAGACCAGGAAAGGGCACUU